UACGGAGGGGGCUAGCGUUGUUCGGAAUUACUGGGCGUAAAGCGUGCGCAGGCGGUUUUGUAAGUCUGUCGUGAAAUCCCCGGGCUCAACCUGGGAAUUGCGAUGGAGACUGCAAGGCUAGAAUCUGGCAGAGGGGGGUAGAAUUCCACGUGUAGCAGUGAAAUGCGUAGAGAUGUGGAGGAACACCGAUGGCGAAGGCAGCCCCCCUGGGAUAACACUGACGCUCAUGCACGAAAGCGUGGGGAGCAAACAGG
rnacentral:rRNA from 1 species